AAACCAACAGGGAUUACCUCAGUAACGGCGAGUGAAGCGGUAACAGCUCAAAUUUGAAAUCUGGGUCUUUCAGGCUCCGAGUUGUAAUUUGUAGAAGAUGCUUCGGGUGCGGCUCCGGUCUAAGUUCCUUGGAACAGGACGUCAUAGAGGGUGAGAAUCCCGUAUGUGAUCGGUUGCUUGCGCCCAUGUGAAGCUCUUUCGACGAGUCGAGUUGUUUGGGAAUGCAGCUCAAAAUGGGUGGUAAAUUUCAUCUAAAGCUAAAUAUUGGCCAGAGACCAAUAGCGCACAAGUAGAGUGAUCGAAAGAUGAAAAGCACUUUGGAAAGAGAGUUAAACAGUACGUGAAAUUGUUGAAAGGGAAGCGCUUGCAACCAGACUUGCGCGUUGCCGAUCAUCCGGGGUUCUCCCCGGUGCACUCGGCCUCGCUCAGGCCAGCAUCGGUUUUGGUGGUGGGAUAAAGGCCUUGGGAAUGUAGCUCCUUUCGGGGAGUGUUAUAGCCCUCGGUGCAAUGCCGCCUACCGGGACCGAGGACCGCGCUUCGGCUAGGAUGCUGGCGUAAUGGUUGUAAGCGAC
rnacentral:rRNA from 1 species